rnacentral:rRNA from 1 species
CAGACGAUGCGUCAUGCAUAUCAAUAAGCGGAGGAAAAGAAACUAACAAGGAUUCCCCUAGUAACGGCGAGUGAAGCGGGAAGAGCUCAAAUUUGAAAUCUUAAAGGGUUUCCCUUUACGAAUUGUAGUUUAAAGAAGUGUUUUCUGUUGAGGUUUUGGUAAAAGUUCUUUGGAAUAGGACAUCAUAGAGGGUGAGAAUCCCGUAUUUGACCUUUACUUUCAACUUUGUGAUACACUUUCAAAGAGUCGGAUUGUUUGGGAAUGCAGUCCAAAAUGGGUGGUAAAUUUCAUCUAAAGCUAAAUAUUGGCGAGAGACCGAUAGCGAACAAGUACCGUGAGGGAAAGAUGAAAGGAACUUUGAAAAGAGAGUUAAACAGUACGUGAAAUUGUCAAAAGGGAAGCGUUUGACACCAGUGUUGUUUUUCUGAAAAUCAAUUAAAGAACUGUUUAUGCUAAGCUGUUUAGGACUUUAUCAGCUAUCUGUUUAGUUUUGAGCUUUUCUUUAAUGCACUUUUCAGCUAACAAGUCAACAUCAAUUUCUUUUGCUGUAAAAAAGCUUGAGGAAGGUGGCUUGAGAUUCGUCUUAAGUGUUUAUAGCCUCUUGCCUAUGCAGUCGGAGAGAUUGAGGUCUGCAGCGUAGAUCCUUCGGGGCUAAAUGCAUUUGUGCUAAGUUAUAGCAUUUUCAUAGACAACUUGUUGACUAUGAUUUGUCUUGUAGCUUACUCGCUUAUGUUAUUUUACCUACGCUUAGGAUGUUGAAUCUGUGCGAGACUAC